rnacentral:lncRNA from 1 species
GGCAUUUGCAGCCCGAGGUGGUACGGCAUCAGUGGCUUUGAGUGAAUCGCGGAAGGAUGCGCUACAAUGAAGUUCAAUGGCGCAGCACGGAAAUGAGCCCAGCGACUUGUUAAUGCUGUGGGGCUUCGAAUAGGAGAGUAGUGGCGCGGGACGGACCAGUUGUGACAGUAGAUGAUGGGGCAUAUGGCUGCGGUCUCAUGGCAUUGGUAUAGCCUGCGAAACGCGCUGGACGGGGAACUCAUAUCCUGAGUCGGGUUGCGCACGCGUUCUGGGAUCAGCGAGGCGUGUUGUGCCAGAUUCAGGAAGUAUGCGCUGGCAGCGGAGGAGAUUUUGCGGGCAGCCAAAAGGCAAGCGACGCGACCAUUUUAUUGGGAGUUCAGCGCCGCCGUGCGGAUUCUGUGAGAAGUCACAGGGUUCAGGUCACUGUUGUGCUUGAAUGCGGAACACAGAAGCAAUGCUGGGAAUACGCGUGGCAUUAUACCGCGUUGUUCGGUCGUCGUGUGUUGAGACCAGGCGUCGUGCUUCGCGUAUCACAAUGAUCCGUCCCUCAGCUAAGCUUGCCGCCUUUGUCCUCCCUAUGUGUGGGCUCUAAAUGAGGGUUUUCCGAUGUUGUGUCUGCAUGAGAGAGCAGGAGAGUAGAAGAGCGAGGUGACACUGCGUCGCAAUCGUUUCGCUUGGCCGGUUUCGUGUCACGCUGCAUUGUGGGUGUGCGUUUGCCUGACGGUGGACGCUGAGUACUCCGCAUGGCUUGCGUCCGGCUAGGAUUGUGGGGGCUACGGCCUUUGAAUGGUUGGGUGUGUUUUAAUGGAUGCAGCACAGAGGUGGCAAAAGCAGAUUUGAAGAGUCCAAAAACCGAUGACCCCGGUUGACUGAAGAACAGGCACCUACGUGUUUGCGAUCAUCAAGAAAGGAAAAGCUUUUAGCAACCGUGCAGGCGUUUUGUUUGCCUCGGGAGGGAUGUACUGUGUGUGGGUGUUGGAUAUCAUAUCUAAGGAUAAUGGGGGGUGAGGCAUGGGGCGGCUCCCAUUGUAGUCGAGCUCGCGAUAGGACGUGUGGCACGCGGACUCAUGUUCUCUGAUUCUCGGUGUAUGAUGGAGUAUUGCCUUGCUGCUCAGGCUGUAAGGACAUGCCCGAGAGUGUGUCCUGGCUUUUCGGAGACGUUGUGGGUGAGGGAUGGCGUCAAUUAGGGGCGGCAAAAGGACAGCGACACUGAGGGAGUAGGGGAGGGAGAGAGGUGAGUCUGGCUCCUGCGUGGGAAGGCUCUAGGCCCGUAAAACAGUCUAGGCAGAGGUUUGAGGUGAUUACGCAUGAGAACAGCAGC